rnacentral:rRNA from 1 species
AUGGGCGGAUGCGAGUUCGAGAGGGCGGAGAUAGAUGCACUGGAGCGCGUUGCAGGUGAUCCAAGCGCGGAGCCGAUAAGCCUGUCGUUUUGGCUUCUCAGGCGCAUAACCAAUGAUUUCUCCGAUGAAUCUUUAAUUGGUAGAGGUGGGUAUGGAGCGGUUUACCUGGGGGUGCUUCCAAAUGGGUUACGUAUUGCUGUCAAGAAGCUUUUCCAAACAUUUGCAACAAUUGAUUCCAGAGCAUUUGAAGACGAACUUUUUACCGCAAGGAGGGUUGGUCAUCACAAGAACAUAGUGCGAACCAUAGGCUACUGUAGUCACACACAAUCUGAAGUCGCCCAAUAGAAUGGGAAAUCUGUUUUCGCAGACACCAAUGAAAGAUUGAUCUGUAUGGAGUAUGUGCCUAAUGGAACCCUUGGUAGACAUAUCACUGAUAAGUUUCAUGGAGGACUUGAUUGGAACCAACGUUAUAAAGUUCUUAAAGGAAUUUGUCAUGGUUUGCAUUAUCUGCACAAUGAAGUGCGCCUUAUUCACGGGGAUAUCAAAGCAGAAAAUAUAUUGCUCAAGGAUAACCUCCUGCCGCAAAUUUUUGACUUUGGUUUGUCCAAGUGCCUUAGUGAUGGAGAAUCUUCAAUUCAUCAAAGAAACAUCUGGGGAACUGCAGGGUAUCUAGCGCCAGAGUCGCUUAAUGACGGAAAAUAUUCUUUUAAGUCUGACAUAUACAGCUUUGGUGUUGUGAUCAUAAAGCUAUUGGUUGGAUCGAUUACUAGCAUCGGAGAGAACCAAAAUGUUGAUCUAGCACUUAAACAGUUGAGAAAAAGGUUGGUAAAAGAAGGAGCGUUUUCAUCAUGGGAAAACAAAUACCACCAAGUUAGAACUUGUCUGGAGAUUGCGUAUACCUGUAUGGAAAUAAAUCGAGAUAAAAGACCUACUGCAUUGGAAAUUAUCCAGCAGUUUGAUGAAACGGAAAAUACGCGUUAUUCUGACCCAUCACUUUGGCAGUCAGGAGAUGAGGAAUCUGAUACAUCGGACACAGAUGCUUUUGAGACAGAGACAACAACCAAGUUUGUUCCAAGUGACGAGGAACCUGCCUCAGCAGACAUGACUGGAGAAACAAGCACACAAGAAGAUGACAUGCCUGACCUACUAAGUAAAGUGUCUUUGUCAGCGGAACUGUCCUCGCUAGAUUUCCUGGAGAAAAUCACAGAUGGUUUUUCGCAUGAACGAAUAGUUGGGAAGGACGGUCCUCAUGCAGUUGUUCAUAAAGCAUUUGUUUAUGAGGGCAACAUUUCAGGUCAAACAGUAGUAGCCGUGAAGAGGUUAAUUGGAGUAGAAAUUAAAGUUAGAAAGUUUGAGAUGGAGGCUAAACGGCUGUUGAAUCUAGAUCACAAGAACAUAGUAAAGCUCCUUGGCUACUGCCACGACGAAUCUAGAGGACAUAAGCUGGUACAGUUUAAAGGAAAACCACCGCAAGACUUUAAAGGAGCUGAACAACUGCUCUGCUAUGAAUAUAUGCACAAUGGAAGCCUCCGUGAGUAUCUUAUUGGACAAGAAUCUCGUGAAGUUGAUUGGCACAUGUGCUACAAAUUGAUCAAAGGGACAUGUGAAGGUUUACUUUACCUCCACGAGGAUUGUGGAGAUCGUCCAAUUGUUCAUUUGAAUCUAAACCCGUCAAAUAUACUGCUGGAUGAACACAACGAACCACGCAUCACGGGUUUUGAUUUUUCGAAGCUCAUUGGUGAAAAGAACACAAAAUCCGUAUUUUUUCAGAUGAAUGGACCAUUAGGUUACCUGCCACCGGACUUCCUGUAUUCAAAGGGUACUGACCUCAAAUAUCUAGCUACGGUGGACAUAUACAGCUUGGGUCUUAUAAUUUUAGAGAUCGCAGCACGUCAAGAGAUCAAGGGUGACCAUGGAAUAAUUAUUAAGACUGUCGAGACAAACUGGAGGCAAGAUUCACAAAUAGCAACGCUGUAUGGCUCACUAGAAGAUAAAUUUCGGGGGCAAGUAAAAAUGUGCAUUGAUAUUGGCCUACAUUGUGUAAAGUCAAAGCCUGAAAAAAGACCUACUGCUGGAGAGAUCAUACGAUGGCUUGACAAUGGUCAAAGACCAGGAGUUGCCGAACCUCCACUCCGUGCUAAUGCCACCCCUGCAGAUGACCACAUACAAGAAAAGGAGAAACAGACGCCAUUGAGGAGACUUUUCAGGAGAAAGUAA